GGAAAUAAUGACAUUCUAAUGAGAAUCGGUCAGCAGUAGUGAACACACACAGAUGAGUAAGAAGUUUAGCAGAUGUACAUAAUACACACACACACACACACACACAAUAGCACUGGUGGAAUUGCAAAGCCCUCCAUUCAUGCUAAUUAUUAAUGAGCUACCUUCAAAAAAUUAAAAGGGCUUCGAACGCGGGUCAUAACCUCCUUGGUCAUUUUGUUGCUCGGCUGGUGAGCUGGGAGACUGCGGAGAGAUGGUGAAUUAAGCACACAACAUGUAUAGCAGAUUCUUCUGCUUAAUUUCUGGCUUUGCAAAAGACCAGCCCUGUAUGUUGUUCAGGCACCACGCACAACUUUCAAGUGAUAUAUUGUUGGAGUCAUCAUGGUCUCUCGCUCCUUGGAUUUUUACCAUAUGAACUGUAGACUUUAGGAUCGCCUAGAGGGGAUUCCAGAAUAGGUAUGCACAUUUUCUCUUCUUAGUCAAAAUUUAAACAUACUUGUUUAUAAUUAAAAAAUUUAUCAUCGUUUAAUUUAUUUCUUCAUUGUCUUACAAUUAUUUUGAAUUUUAUAAAACAAAAAUAAUUGUGCCGUAAAUUAAGAUUUAAAGAGGGAAGGUUCAUAAUUAGAAGGUGUGAAGAAUUUAAUUUAGUUAAAUUAGUAAUUGCCUUUGAAUGUCAUUUAAUAGCAUUGAAACUAUAGUUACAAAAAUGGUGUUUCUAUAUAGAUUUUACAACGGGUGUGAAAAGCAUUACCCAAACUAUGGCAAGUUCAAGUUUUUCGAAAUAAGGAAACGGAUUGAAUGCGUGAAGGAGGAUUGGACGGGGGCAAUUCUAAAAACGAAUCCGGGGUACCAAGAAAUAAGGGGCAGGUUGAAUCGGCAAUGGCGCUGCUCUCUGAUGGGCUCAUAGAAAAGCCCACCAUCGAUGGCCAUUAUUGACUUGACCACGGAGGCAUAAACGCCUCCACAAGACCACAGCCUAAAAAGCACUAGCAAAAAACCAACGAGGUGUUGGUUCAGCUAGCGCCGGUUGAACCCCUUAGGUGGUUUAACUGGGUUUAUUUUACAGUUCAAAUUUUUUGGGAGUCUUCUUUAUUGGGAGGACUUUAUUGGCACCCGACCUAAAUUUAGAGUAGUCAGAAUCUAAUGUAGUCGUCGGAUACCAGAUGGUAAAGAUAAAAAAAAAAAAAAGCACUAGCAAAAAGAUCUUACGCUUAUCCUAUCACAAUUCUCAUUUCAUUUCAGCCAAGUGCCGUGUGCCCACAUAACAGAGCAUAUGCAGUCUCAAAUCGGAAACUUUCUUGAUGUUUGAAUGAUGCGGUUCGCUAUAAACCCAAUCAUAAAACGACAAAU
rnacentral:lncRNA from 1 species